rnacentral:sRNA from 1 species
CCUGAAAUCACAGUCGUACAGGCGAUGCCUGCUGUU